UCCCUGCUGGCUCAGACGGUAAAGAACCUGCCUGCCAUGCAGGAGGCCCAGGUUUGAUCCCUGGGUUGGGAA